rnacentral:rRNA from 1 species
AACGAACGCUGGCGGCAGGCUUAACACAUGCAAGUCGAGCGCCCCGCAAGGGGAGCGGCAGACGGGUGAGUAACGCGUGGGAAUCUACCCAUCUCUACGGAAUAACCCAGGGAAACUUGGACUAAUACCGUAUACGCCCUUCGGGGGAAAGAUUUAUCGGAGAUGGAUGAGCCCGCGUUGGAUUAGCUAGUUGGUGGGGUAAUGGCCCACCAAGGCGACGAUCCAUAGCCGGUCUGAGAGGAUGAUCAGCCACACUGGGACUGAGACACGGCCCAGACUCCUACGGGAGGCAGCAGUGGGGAAUAUUGGACAAUGGGCGAAAGCCUGAUCCAGCCAUGCCGCGUGAGUGAUGAAGGCCCUAGGGUUGUAAAGCUCUUUCACCGGUGAAGAUAAUGACGGUAACCGGAGAAGAAGCCCCGGCUAACUUCGUGCCAGCCGCCGCGGUAAUAC